rnacentral:rRNA from 1 species
CCCUUAGAUGUCCUGGGCCGCACGCGCGCUACACUGAUGCAUGCAACGAGUUUAUAACCUUGGCCUGAAAGGUCUGGGUAAUCGUUUGAACGUGCAUCGUGAUAGGGAUAGAUUAUUGCAAUUGUUAAUCUUGAACGAGGAAUUCCUAGUAAACGCGAGUCAUCAGCUCGCAUUGAUUACGUCCCUGCCCUUUGUACACACCGCCCGUCGCACCUACCGAUUGAAUGGUUCGGUGAAGAUCUCGGACUUCGAUAUUUAUUCUUUAUUGAGUUUAUAUUGUGGGAAGUUAUCUAAACCUCAUCAUUUAGAGGAAGGUGAAGUCGUAACA